AAGGUAAUAGCUCAGUGGUAGAGCAGAUGCUUAGCAUGAAUGAGGUCCUGGGUUCAAUCCCCAGUACCCCCA
rnacentral:tRNA from 1 species